UACGGAGGGUGCGAACGUUAAUCGGAAUCACUGGGCGUAAAGCGCGCGUAGGCGGUUCGUUAAGUGGGAUGUGAAAUCCCCGGGCUUAACCUGGGAAUUGCAUUUCAAACUGGCCGACUAGAGUACGGUAGAGGGAGGUAGAAUUUCCUGUGUAGCGGUGAAAUGCGUAGAUAUAGGAAGGAAUACCAGUGGCGAAGGCGGCCGCCUGGAUCGAUACUGACGCUGAGGCGCGAAAGCUAGGGGAGCAAACGGG
rnacentral:rRNA from 1 species